rnacentral:rRNA from 1 species
GGAUUAGAUACCCUGGUAGUCCACGCCGUAAACGAUGAGUACCAGCUGUUUGUGACUUUGAUAUCACAAGUGGUGCAGCUAACGCCUUGAGUACUCCGCCUGGGAACUACGGUCGCAAGACUAAAACUCAAAGGAAUUGACGGGGACCCGCACAAGCGGUGGAACAUGUGGUUUAAUUCGACGCAACGCGAAGAACCUUACCUGGGUUUGACAUCUCCUGCUCGCUUUGGAAACAAAGUUUUCCCUUCGGGGACAGGAAGACAGGUGCUGCAUGGCUGUCGUCAGCUCGUGCCG